rnacentral:lncRNA from 1 species
CUGGUUUAAGGCCAAAAGUUGUUGGUGUUGGAUUUUGAUGGCGAUUCCAGGUUCACACUCAUGAGGGAACGGUGACGCAUAGACACCCGGCCCUCCUGUUACGCAAUAAGGAGCACUACUUCAAUAGUUCGUUUCAAAUUUCUGCAAGUAAAGUUGUAAAACAGAAUAUCUGAAACACAUUAUAUAAGUUUCACGUCCCAUACUUGAA